rnacentral:lncRNA from 1 species
UGCACUACCGUAAAUUUCUUUCAACCUUGGACAAUAACCAAGAUAGAAGACCCACAAUGGUAAGUGCCCAAUAACAUGGUGGUCGGCCCUUAGAUCUUAAGUAAAUGUAUUAAAUGUAAGAACCCUAAGUCUUAGCAAUGUACAUCCAAUAUAUCAUUCCAAGACUUUGCGCAUCACAUGCACUGGAUUUACAACUCCAAAGAAAAUUAGAUCAAAGGACCUAACUUAAACUUGUCUCACAA